GGAAGAGAUAUAUAGUGCAGAAUCAACACAGGCCGCUCUACUGGGUCUUGAGGAUAAACAUGUGGAGCGUUGGCGCCCAUGGCUGAUCUAUAUAGCGGAUCGAAACGCGGACAGACAUGAACCCCAGAGGACCCAAAGACUACCACACCCCCUCCUGGACGGAGAAUGAGACCCGAUACGAUACCCGCGGUAACCACAGGCACAGGCAAUGGGACCUCCUAACCCAUCACACCCUCCCAUACCCAUCCCUUCUUCAACAUCCCCCUUUAUCCCCCCUCUAUACUUUUCCUAUUUCUCUACUAUCUCAAUUAUCCAAC